UACGUAGGGUGCGAGCGUUAAUCGGAAUUACUGGGCGUAAAGCGUGCGCAAGCGGUUUUGCAAGCCGGAUGUGAAAUCCCCGGGCUCAACCUGGGAAUGGCAUUUGGGACUGCAAGGCUCGAGUGCGGCAGAGGAGACUGGAAUUCCUGGUGUAGCAGUGAAAUGCGUAGAUAUCAGGAGGAAUACCGAUGGCGAAGGCAGGUCUCUGGGCUGACACUGACGCUCAUGCACGAAAGCGUGGGGAGCAAACAGG
rnacentral:rRNA from 1 species